UCAUUGAUAUGCUCCGGAACAUUUCAUAUGCUAUUGAUAUGCUCCGAAAUGCUUCAUCUGCUAUUGUCUCAAAUUAUUGUUCACAAUACCCUUUUGUACUCUGGUGUUUGUGGGAUUAUUUGGACCUUUGCUAGAAAUGGUAAAGGGUAUGUGCUUAGAGCCUGCGAUGCUCUAGAUUAUGUUUGGUGGUCAUUCAGAAAUGGAUGGACCAUAUUAUGUUUGGAAUCCCACUUCACCUUCUAUCUGUUUCAUCUGUUAUUGUUACGCUGCGAAAUGUUCCAUAUGUCAUUGAUAUGCUCCGGAACAUUUCAUACGCUAUUGAUAUGCUUCAAUUACUCUGUGCUCUAUUUGCUAUGAACUGAUAUGUUCUGAAAUGUCCUAUUUGCCAUUGAUAUGCUCCGGAACGUCUCGUACGCUAUUGAUAUGCUCC
rnacentral:lncRNA from 1 species